rnacentral:lncRNA from 1 species
UCAGGGUUUUGACGAUUUGACAGAGGAAUCGCUCGAAAAAGGAGAAAGGCUCGCAAUCGGUCAGAAAUCGCAGCAGGGUUUUAUUUUCAACGAAGUAGAGAGGGUUUACUCGAAAUCGCAGCGGAUGAUGGAAUCGGAACAAAAAGUGAGGCUCUGAAAUCGCAGCAGAACUAUAGGACGUAGAUCGGACGUAGAUUAGUGGCAACAGAAAUCGCAGCAGUCGCAGGGACAGAAAUCGCAGCAGUCGCAAGGGUUUUGGAAGGUGAAAUCGCAGCUUGGGGGCUAAUGGGGGCUAAUGAAAUCGGCAGAUCUGAUAUAAGCAGUCCGCUAGUUCAACUAGCGGAACUGACGAGGGCAACUUAGUCACAAAAUUUCUUUUCA